AACGAACGCUGGCGGCGUGCUUAACACAUGCAAGUCGAACGGUAAGGCUCCAGCUUGCUGGGGUACACGAGUGGCGAACGGGUGAGUAACACGUGGGUGACCUGCCCUGCACUUCGGGAUAAGCCUGGGAAACUGGGUCUAAUACCGGAUAGGACCGCACCGUGAGGGUGUGGUGGAAAGUUUUUUCGGUGUGGGAUGGGCCCGCGGCCUAUCAGCUUGUUGGUGGGGUAAUGGCCUACCAAGGCGGCGACGGGUAGCCGGCCUGAGAGGGUGGACGGCCACAUUGGGACUGAGACACGGCCCAGACUCCUACGGGAGGCAGCAGUGGGGAAUAUUGCACAAUGGGCGGAAGCCUGAUGCAGCGACGCCGCGUGGGGGAUGACGGCCUUCGGGUUGUAAACUCCUUUCACCAUCGACGAAGGGUUUCUGACGGUAGAUGGAGAAGAAGCACCGGCUAACUACGUGCCAGCAGCCGCGGUAAUACGUAGGGUGCGAGCGUUGUCCGGAAUUACUGGGCGUAAAGAGCUCGUAGGUGGUUUGUCGCGUCGUCUGUGAAAUUCCGGGGCUUAACUCCGGGCGUGCAGGCGAUACGGGCAUAACUUGAGUACUGUAGGGGAGACUGGAAUUCCUGGUGUAGCGGUGAAAUGCGCAGAUAUCAGGAGGAACACCGGUGGCGAAGGCGGGUCUCUGGGCAGUAACUGACGCUGAGGAGCGAAAGCAUGGGGAGCGAACAGGAUUAGAUACCCUGGUAGUCCAUGCCGUAAACGGUGGGCGCUAGGUGUGGGUUUCCUUCCACGGGAUCCGUGCCGUAGCUAACGCAUUAAGCGCCCCGCCUGGGGAGUACGGCCGCAAGGCUAAAACUCAAAGGAAUUGACGGGGGCCCGCACAAGCGGCGGAGCAUGUGGAUUAAUUCGAUGCAACGCGAAGAACCUUACCUGGGCUUGACAUAUACAGGAUCGCGCCAGAGAUGGUGUUUCCCUUGUGGCUUGUAUACAGGUGGUGCAUGGUUGUCGUCAGCUCGUGUCGUGAGAUGUUGGGUUAAGUCCCGCAACGAGCGCAACCCUUGUCUUAUGUUGCCAGCACGUUGUGGUGGGGACUCGUAAGAAACUGCCGGGGUUAACUCGGAGGAAGGUGGGGAUGACGUCAAAUCAUCAUGCCCCUUAUGUCCAGGGCUUCACACAUGCUACAAUGGUCGGUACAGUGGGUUGCCAGUCCGUGAGGGCGAGCUAAUCCCGCAAAGCCGGUCUCAGUUCGGAUCGGGGUCUGCAACUCGACCCCGUGAAGUCGGAGUCGCUAGUAAUCGCAGAUCAGCAACGCUGCGGUGAAUACGUUCCCGGGCCU
rnacentral:rRNA from 1 species